rnacentral:rRNA from 1 species
GCGUUGUUCGGAAUUACUGGGCGUAAAGCGCGCGUAGGCGGCUUUGUAAGUUAGAGGUGAAAGCCCGGGGCUCAACUCCGGAAUUGCCUUUGAGACUGCAUCGCUAGAACUGUGGAGAGGUGAGUGGAAUUCCGAGUGUAGAGGUGAAAUUCGUAGAUAUUCGGAAGAACACCAGUGGCGAAGGCAGCUCGCUGGGACGUGACUGACGCUGAGACGCGAAAGCGUG